rnacentral:rRNA from 1 species
AGAGUUUGAUCAUGGCUCAGAUUGAACGCUGGCGGCAGGCCUAACACAUGCAAGUCGAGCGGAAACGACAACAUUGAAUCUUCGGAGGAUUUGUUGGGCGUCGAGCGGCGGACGGGUGAGUAAUGCCCAGGAAAUUGCCUUGAUGUGGGGGAUAACCGUUGGAAACGAUGGCUAAUACCGCAUAAUGCCUACGGGCCAAAGAGGGGGACCUUCGGGCCUCUCGCGUCAAGAUAUGCCUAGGUGGGAUUAGCUAGUUGGUGAGGUAAUGGCUCACCAAGGCGACGAUCCCUAGCUGGUCUGAGAGGAUGAUCAGCCACACUGGAACUGAGACACGGUCCAGACUCCUACGGGAGGCAGCAGUGGGGAAUAUUGCACAAUGGGCGAAAGCCUGAUGCAGCCAUGCCGCGUGUAUGAAGAAGGCCUUCGGGUUGUAAAGUACUUUCAGUUGUGAGGAAGGGUGUGUAGUUAAUAGCUGCGCAUCUUGACGUUAGCAACAGAAGAAGCACCGGCUAACUCCGUGCCAGCAGCCGCGGUAAUACGGAGGGUGCGAGCGUUAAUCGGAAUUACUGGGCGUAAAGCGCAUGCAGGUGGUUCAUUAAGUCAGAUGUGAAAGCCCGGGGCUCAACCUCGGAACUGCAUUUGAAACUGGUGAACUAGAGUGCUGUAGAGGGGGGUAGAAUUUCA